rnacentral:rRNA from 1 species
UACGUAGGGUGCGAGCGUUAAUCGGAAUUACUGGGCGUAAAGACGUGCGCAGGCGGUUUUGUAAGCCAGAUGAUGAAAUCCCCGGGCUUAACCUGGGAAUGGCAUUUGGGACUGCAAGGCUUGAGUGCGGCAGAGGAGACUGGAAUUCCUGGGUGUAGCAGUGAAAUGCGUAGAAUAUCAGGAGGAACACCGAUGGCGGAAGGCAGGUCUCUGGGACUGAC